rnacentral:rRNA from 1 species
UAUAACGGCAUCUUUAUACAACUUUCAGCAACGGAUCUCUUGGCUCUCGCAUCGAUGAAGAACGCAGCGAAAUGCGAUAAGUAAUGUGAAUUGCAGAAUUCAGUGAAUCAUCGAAUCUUUGAACGCACCUUGCGCUCCCUGGUAUUCCGGGGAGCAUGCCUGUUUGAGUGUCAUGGUAUUCUCAUCCUUCAUAACUUUUGUUAUCGAAGGCAUGGACUUGGAGGUCGUGCUGGUUCCUCGUUGAAUCGGCUCCUCUUAAAUGUAUUAGCGUGAGUGUGACGGAUCGCUUCGGUGUGAUAAUUAUCUGCGCCGUGGUCGUGAAGUAACAUAAGCUUGCGCUUCUAACCGUCCUUAAGUUGGACAACUUACUUUGACAUCUGACCUCAAAUCAGGUAGGACUACCCGCUGAACUUAAGCAUAUCAAUAAGCGGAGGA